rnacentral:tRNA from 1 species
GGAGAGGUGCCAGAGCGGUCGAUUGGGCUCCCCUGCUAAGGGAGUGUGCCUUUUCGGGCACCGAGGGUUCGAAUCCCUCCCUCUCCG